ACACGUUUGAGUCUGAGAUUCUUUCCACGUGGAGGCUAAAAGCAGACAGAAGAGCCAGUCAGUCACAGAUUUAUGAUCAAUAAUCUUACCGUUCUUGUUCUUUUUGUUCUGUUCUUCGUCUCCUCCGGGGAUGCCAGGGAUUCCCAGGAAGGUGUUGUGGGAGUUUCCAUACCAGACCAGCAGUUCCUGGUCCGGAGGGAUCGUCUGAGGAGGAACACAUGGAGGUUAGCCUUAAAAACAAAAAUCACUGGAGGAGGCCAGAGGACACCAGUCCCUCUGAAUGUGUCGGGAAGAGGAUCAAUGGAGCGCGUUUGUUCCUCAGGAAACCAGUAAUAUGUUUCAGCCAGCAGAGGGCGACACACACCUGAGCUCCUCUGAGAGCCGCGGAGGGCGACGCGGGCAUGAGACUGAAGAGGAGUUGGUGUCGGAACGUGUGUGCUGACUCAGCAGACAGACGCGAUGUGUUCACUGACCUCCACGGCCUUGUAGAAGAUGCUGCUGCCGAUCUGAACCACCUCCAGGUUCUGCUCUUGCUCGUUCCUCGCGCACUUAAUGUCGAUGUGUUCAGGUGAGAUGAGGCGUCCUGUGAACGGUCCCAUCUCUGUUCCUGCUUUAAUCCACGUUUUGGAGAAGAUGCCCAAACCUUCACCUGAAAGACACCAACGCAGGUGUGAUCUGCUGUGGCACAAAGCCACCAGACAGGAGGCAGAAUACAGUCAUCCAACACACAAUUUACUUCAGCUCAGUUUAUUUAAAUGGUGUCAAUUCACAAUUCCAAUUAGAGCAGGUGGAGACCAAACGCUGAGGUUGCAGGGACAUUGAAGGCAUCGCAUUAGUUUCUUUGUGUUUCCUGCAGAUUUAAUCCAAAUGUUUGUUGUCUCCUUCAGUUUGUGUUUGUCUCUGACCGACACUGAAGAGAAAACUGCUUGGUAAUGUUGACUGGAUGCAGGCCAAAUCAUUUCAGUCAUUCAUUUAUUAUUUAAACAGACGCGCAGUUCGCCGCACAGCCGUCCAGACCAAGCGACACCCAAAUAUACAAAUACGGAUUCACGACAAGAUUUCAUAAAACAUAUCUAAUCAUUCUUGACAUUUUGUUGUAAUUUUCGUGCGGAAUAAAAAAAGAGACUGGAGACGGAGGACAGCUUACCUGGGACCGAACUCUGAGCGAUGAUCACCUCACUGGGUAAAACCAAACUGGACAACUUCUGGACCUCUGAACACAAACACAAUUCAAAUUUACUGAUUUUCAUUUUUAGACAAGUCUGACAUUUUUUCUGAAAAACUGCUGACUGUUAAAAAAAUAAAACGUUGAUCGUGGCUGAAAUCAAAAGCUGGAAUAUGGCAGAAAAGUCUUUAAAAAGCCAACCGCAUUUAGGUUUUUGCAGAUGAACAUCUGACCUGAAGCGCGCGGUGUGCUGAGCGCACAAACCGCUUCGUUAAAUGUCCUCCUGCCAGUUUGUCUAAUUCAGGACGGCUUUUAGGAAGCAUGACAUCCAAAGUAACAGAGAGGGGACAGACAGGAGACAAGUCCGACAGACGGGACGAAAAUGAAAUAAAUGGAAUUAUAAAGUAUAUAAA